AUACGGAGGAUGCGAGCGUUAUCCGGAUUUAUUGGGUUUAAAGGGAGCGUAGGCGGGAGCUUAAGUCAGCGGUUAAAUGGUGCGGCCCAACCGUGCCCUGCCGUUGAAACUGGGUUUCUUGAGAGUGCAAGAGGCGGAUGGAAUUCAUGGUGUAGCGGUGAAAUGCUUAGAUAUCAUGAAGAACUCCGAUUGCGAAGGCAGUCCGCUGGGGCACGUCUGACGCUGAUGCUCGAAGGUGCGGGAAUCAAACAGGAUUAGAUACCCUGGUAGUCCGCACGGUAAACGAUGAUUACCCGCUGUCGGCGGCAGACAGUCGGCGGCCAAGCGAAAGCGAUAAGUAAUCCACCUGGGGAGUACGCCGGCAACGGUGAAACUCAAAUGAAUUGACGGGG
rnacentral:rRNA from 1 species